GCUUUAUAGUCAAAAAUGAUAUAAAAUUGCAAAUUUUAAGGAGUAAUAAAUAAUAUACUAAGGCUU
rnacentral:tRNA from 1 species